CUCUGCCUCUGUUUUUUCUCAAGCUCGCUUCAAAUGGGAAGGAACCGUAGUCGGAGUCGGAGCUACAGCCCCCGCCGCAAUAGCCGCAGCCCCCCUCGCCGGAAGCGAUACGACGACCCACGCGAUCGCUACCGUGGUGGGCCAAGUCGCAGCUUCCGGGACCGGCGUGGCCCGCCCUCGGGCCUCCUCAUCCGCAAUAUCUCUUUAGAUGCUAGGCCAGAGGAUCUAAGAAUCCCUUUUGAACGGUUUGGUCCUGUGAAAGAUGUUUAUCUUCCAAAGAAUUAUUACACCGGGGAGCCAAGGGGUUUCGGGUUUGUUAAGUAUCGAUAUCCUGAAGAUGCAGCUGAAGCAAAGCUCCAGAUGAACCAUCAAAUUAUUGGAGGACGUGAAAUUUCAAUUGUGUUUGCUGAAGAAAAUAGAAAAACUCCUCAGGAUAUGAGGACGAGUGCUCGAAUAAGCAGCGGGAGCGGAAGAUACAAUGGUAACAGUAGAGGACGCUCUCCACCAAGAUCUCCAAGACGUCGGUACAGAUCUUAUUCACGGUCCUCAUCACCAAGGCACGAUUCAAGAUCAUUAUAUUGAAAAAAGAUAAAGAAUGAUUGGAUUGUAAAGACUUUAAAGUGAUUGAGAGAUCCAAAGAUUUUGCCUCUCUUAGUUUCCCAUCUUUUGAAGCUACCCCUGAAGUGGUCAUCGUUGAUUAAUCUUCAACGACAUAAUUCCCCUUGAUCACAUGUUACAAAGAUAUUAAAGCUUAUAUUUACAAAAGAUAAAGGACUGGUGAUCUGCAAAAAGCCUGGGAGGUGAAAAGCCUUUUAUGCUAGAGCAUGGAAGUUAGUUCUCCAUUGCUAUCAUACAUUUGUUCAAAAUAAAGGAAUGGUUCUAUGAAAGAUGUGGCAAAGAGCUCGGAAGUGUAUGGACCAAAGAAACUAUCAUAAAUUUGUUCAGUUUCUAUGGAGUAUGGAAAAUUUUCAGAGGACGAGAUAGGUCCACUCGGGAUGAGUACUACUCUCCGCCAAGAUCCCGCACUCCUCCAGGCGAUGAAGAUCAUUACAAAUCGCCAAAAAGAUCACCGAGUCCCGAGGCAAAUGCUCCACACUCAAGGUCCCGCUCCU